ACGGAGGGUGCAAGCGUUAUCCGGAUUUAUUAGGUUUAAAGGGUUCGCAGGCGGAAUUUUAAGUCAGUGGUGAAAGCCUACAGCUCAACUGUAGAACUGCCAUUGAAACUGAUAUUCUUGAGUAUAGAUGAAGUGGGCGGAAUAUGUCAUGUAGCGGUGAAAUGCAUAGAUAUGACAUGGAACACCAAUUGCGAAGGCAGCUCACUAAACUAUUACUGACGCUCAUGAACGAAAGCGUGGGGAGCAAACAGG
rnacentral:rRNA from 1 species